UACGAAGGGGGCUAGCGUUGUUCGGAUUUACUGGGCGUAAAGCGCACGUAGGCGGAUCGUUAAGUCGGGGGUGAAAUCCUGGAGCUCAACUCCAGAACUGCCUUCGAUACUGGCGAUCUCGAGUCCGGAAGAGGUGAGUGGAACUCCUAGUGUAGAGGUGGAAUUCGUAGAUAUUAGGAAGAACACCAGUGGCGAAGGCGGCUCAACUGGUCCGGUACUGACGCUGAGGUGCGAAAGCGUGGGGAGCAAACAGG
rnacentral:rRNA from 1 species